GGCAUUUGUAUUCCUCUCCCAGUGCCAGAUCUUGGCGGAUGCUGGCUGAUUGGGGGUUGCGGUUGAAGAAAUUGAGAUCAGUGAUCUCUUGCUUGAUCUCACCUUGAUUCGAACAGAGGAGUGGAUUUUCCAACAAGUUGUUUGCUGUGGAUUGUAAUCACGGGACUGGAGAAGAAGUGCAGGGAAGAAGUUCAGCAUGGUUAGGUUCUGUGAUUCCAGGUGAGGUUUGGUGAUCAGUGAAGUGAGGGUCUGUUGCUGUGAGGCUGGAAUUGUGAUCAUUGCGGUGAAAUUGAGGGCUGUGGAUCAAUAGGUGUGGCUAUGAGGUUUCUUGUUCUUGAUUCCAGCAAUUUCUUGGUCUCGGCAGCAACAAUCCUCUUGUCCCAAUAGCCACAGUAGCUGUGGAAUUGAGGACUCUGAUUCGAGAC